rnacentral:rRNA from 1 species
AUACGUAGGGUGCAAGCGUUAAUCGGAAUUACUGGGCGUAAAGCGUGCGCAGGCGGUUUUGUAAGACAGAGGUGAAAUCCCCGGGCUCAACCUGGGAACUGCCUUUGUGACUGCAAGGCUAGAGUACGGCAGAGGGGGAUGGAAUUUCGCGUGUAGCAGUGAAAUGCGUAGAUAUGCGGAGGAACACCGAUGGCGAAGGCAAUCCCCUGGGCCUGUACUGACGCUCAUGCACGAAAGCGUGGGGAGCAAACAGGAUUAGAUACCCUGGUAGUCCACGCCCUAAACGAUGUCAACUGGUUGUUGGGUCUUCAUUGACUCAGUAACGAAGCUAACGCGUGAAGUUGACCGCCUGGGAAGUACGGCCGCAAGGUUGAAACUCAAAUGAAUUGACGGGG